rnacentral:rRNA from 1 species
AUUGAACGCUGGCGGCAGGCCUAACACAUGCAAGUCGAACGAGUGGCGGACGGGUGAGUAAUGUCUGGGAAACUGCCUGAUGGAGGGGGAUAACUACUGGAAACGGUAGCUAAUACCGCAUACCAUCAGAUGUGCCCAGAUGGGAUUGGCUAGUUGGUGGGGUAACGGCUCACCAAUGCGACGAUCCCUAGCUGGUCUGAGAGGAUGACCAGCAACACUGGAACUGAGACAGGGUCCAGACUCCUACAGGGGGCAGCAGUGGGGAAUAUUGCAAAAGGGGCGCAGGCUGGAUGCAGCCAUGCGGCGUGUAUGAGGAGGGCCUUCGGGUUGUAAAGUUCUUUCAGCGGGGAGGCGUUACCCGCAGAAGAAGCACCGGCUAACUCCGUGCCAGCGGCCGCGGUAUUC